UACGUAGGGUGCUAGCGUUGUUCGGAAUCAUUGGGCGUAAAGCGCGUGUAGGUGGUUAGGAAAGUUGGGUGUGAAAUCCCUCGGCUCAACCGAGGAAGGGCACUCAAAACUAACUAGCUUGAGAGUGGUAGAGGAAGGUGGAAUUCCUAGUGUAGAGGUGAAAUUCGUAGAUAUUAGGAGGAAUACCGGAGGCGAAGGCGGCCUUCUGGACCAUUUCUGACACUGAGACGCGAAAGCGUGGGUAGCAAACAGGAUUAGAAACCCGCGUAGUCC
rnacentral:rRNA from 1 species